rnacentral:misc_RNA from 1 species
UCUCCGUUGGUGAACCAGCGGAGGGAUCAUUACAGGACUCGCAAGACUCCUACAACCCUGUGAACUUAACUAUAAGCACGUUGCUUCGGCGGGCGUCUCGGAGAGGGUUCUCCCUCCCCGGGGCGCUAAGCCCGCCGGCAGCCUACUAUACUCUGUCUCUUUGCGUUGGCAUCUCGAGUACAAACAAACAAGUUAAAACUUUCAACAACGGAUCUCUUGGUUCUG